UUUGAAGAGAGAGUUCAAGAGUACGUGAAACUGCUGAGAGGCAAACUGGUGGGCCCUCGAAAUCCCGUCUGCGGGGAGAUUCAGUCGGGUGUCGGCGGCCGUCUCGCAAUGGGUCUGUCGCAACCGAAGAUCGGGGCACAUUCCGAGAGGCGAGUUCGCCGGAACCCGACGCAUUUCCCGCCCGCACGAAAGGACGCCGCAGCCGGUCGGGUAGCUGCGCGUGUCGGCCAUGAGGACGUUGCGACGGCAGGUGACCGGCGGCCCUAGGCUUCUCCGGAGGCACUAACGGUCGACGGUUGAUUAGCCGGCUCGUCCGUGGCGCGACACCCGACCGAGGAAACACGGACUAAAUAGUUUCUCUCCACGGAGAGAAACCGAUAAUCCACUACUUUCAAACAAGAGAGCGAGCCGUCGGACAGGCGCGUUCCUGCGUGGUCGGACAGUCACCGCACUGGUCGAUCUGGUGGGAGCGCGUCGUUGGUUUCCGAGUCAGGAUCUCGCGGAGGAUGAAGGCUGGCGGCGAGUAGGUCGGUAACCCACCCGACCCGUCUUGAAACACGGACCAAGGAGUCUAACAUGUGCGCAAGUCGCGGGGUCUUGCUCAGGCCCAGAGGCGAAAUGAAAGUGAAGGCCGCCGCUCUCCCUCGUUCACUCGGGGGCGGAGUGAGGCGGCCCGGUUGGGACUCGCACGUGACACGGCACGUGAACGAAGCACCAACGACCCGCCCUGUUCUAUCUUCUGGAUAGGAACUCAAACGGAGUUCGAGCGCACACGUUGGGACCCGAAAGAUGGUGAACUAUGCCUGGGCAGGACGAAGCCAGAGGAAACUCUGGUGGAGGUCCGCAGCGGUUCUGACGU
rnacentral:rRNA from 1 species